CCUGUAGCUCAAAAGGUAAAGAAUCUGUCUGCAAGGCAGAAGACCAGGGUUCGAUCCCUGGGUCAGGA
rnacentral:tRNA from 1 species